ensembl:lncRNA
GAUGAAUGUGACUGCAGUAAAAUUUGCUGCCACUAGGGGGCAGGCACGUCAAGGCAGAGGCCUCAAGCCCGGGAGGAAGAUGAGUGUACUUGUACACAGAGGAGUGAAGAGCUACAGGUGCAGUUUUCAUAAGCAGUGGGAGAGACUCUUGGCUCUUUCAGACCUCGCCGGGACAGUUAGAAUCCUCGUUGCCUUUGACGGGGCUGAGGUGUCUGCAUCUGAUGCGGGAGACUGGGUGAAUAUUUGCGAGAAGCCAGUCUCUCCCUGAAACUCAGAUCAAACCCUCCAUUAUCCUGAACCCAGAGCCUUAGUGAACUAGCUCCGGAGGCUGCCAGCUUGAGAACUGCACGGAACUAGGACUGCUCUGGGAGUGAGGGAUGAUCUGUAAGGCCCUUUUCUGCCUUGUCAUUCUAGAAUGAGAGGAUUUAUGCCCAGACAACACUAUCUGUAGGAGGCUGGGCCCCACCAAGAGGUGGAGCUUCUGUCGAAAGCCGCAGUCUUGUUCUAAGAGGGUCCCCCAUGGGACUGGGUCCCUUAGGACCUGUGCCCCCCAUCUACGCUCCCCCUGCUGCUGUGGGCUGGGGGAAGGUGGUGCGUUGUGUUCCCCCUCUAUGUACUCAGCUGCUAAGCAUCACAGAGACAAAAAACAAAAACCCAAACAGGCAACGAAAAUCUUAUAUAAAACCCUCCUUUCUCUGGCUGCAUCACUUUCUGGGAUUUGCAUUCCCAGACAACUUAAUCUCCAAAUCUGGAGUGGGACGGGUCAGCAGGGGUGAGUGAGGCUCCCCUUGGAUUCUCCUUCCUCUCAGAGAACCUUGCGGAAACCCCUCCUGUCUUCGGUGGUCACUCUCUCCCAUCCCACGAAGCCUGACUGACAAUGAACGGCUGCUUCAUGCGGCUGCUGCCCUACUCACUUAGCGAGACCUUAGAAAUACCUUCGGUCUCAAUUAAUAUAGAUUAGCAGCGUUAUUUUUUUCCUCAAGAUUAUUUUGAUUUUGAGCUCCAUUUUCAUGGAAGUUCAUUUUUUGUUGGGUGGCAUCGGCACCACAAUUUUUAAUGAUUGCAGAAGGUUCCAUUAUGACUCCCCAUCCACCCCCCCAUGGUACAUCCUGUAGGUUGCCUCUCUUUAUCUCAUCACGAGUGGAACCACGGCAUCUUAGGGAUCCCCCUCUCCAGCUCUUUCAUUUUACAGAGCAGGGAAAUCGCUUCUAGCUGAUGGCAGGCUAGGACUAGAAUUCAGGUUUCCUGAGUCCCCACCCGCUGCCAGGCUUCUUGAGGGUAGGCGUGAAGGGAAGGAGGAGGCACUUCGCAUACCUGUGUGCUAGGCAAUUUACAGAUUAUUAAGAAAAAUGCCCCCUCUUCCAUAUUUUUAUAUUUUCUUCCAUGUUUCUACAAGUGAGUGUCCAAAAUACUGUCUCCAGCUGAUUGCUUAUUCGACAGAUUUGGUUGACUCACCUUCCUGUGACCUAAAGCCUCCUUACCCUCUCCCAGGUCUGUCCCACCUCUACGUCCCCCAGGAUUGAAUUUCCCAAGGGCACUUGCCACACAGAGCCAGCAACCCAGUCACGAGAUGGCUAAAUAUAAACUGUGCAGACUGCAAAUCAGCCUCUCGAUCAUCUGCUCCUUUGUUGAGCUUUUUAUCCUCCCAAAUCAGACUGGCGAGGAGGCAUGUGCAUCGUCCGUGCUGGGCAGGACCUGGUGGGUGUUUGUGUCCAACAGAACAAGCCAAACAAACACAACUCUGAUGUGAGCUGAGUCAUUCCCCUUCUCCAGUGGAGCAGGGCCUGCUUUUCAGAAAAAGCCCACAAUCCCCAGGCUUUGGUUUCCAAAGCAAAUUACUGCGAAUUGCAUCAAUAUUGGGAACAGAUGCAACAGUCUGGCCAGGCGCUAUGUGCAGCUGGCAGCCAGGGACAAAGAGACGUGGUGUGGCGUGGAAUGUGGCUCGUCUCUGUCUCCUCUGUUGUCUUACCUCCUCAGGGGAGGAUGGGUAACAGGGGACAAUAAAAUGGGCAGGGGAUCCACAGUUCUGGGCUGUAUAGCCAUCCUGGAACAUGAGAGGUGGAGAUAGUGACCCCAGAGACAUGUUUUUAGGUGAGGACUUCUCAUCAAUUAGUGAUGUCUGUUGUAGACCAAGGUGUGGUGGGUGUUAACAGGCAUGCUGUAUAUUUGCC